AUACGGGGGAUACGAGCGUUAUCCGGAUUUAUUGGGUUUAAAGGGUGCGCAGGCGGAUCGACAAGUCAGGGGUGAAAAGUUGAGGCUCAACUUCAAUCGUGCCUUUGAUACUGUCGGACUAGAGUGUGAGAGACGUGGCCGGAAUGUGAUGUGUAGCGGUGAAAUGCUUAGAUAUGUCACAGAACACCGAUCGAGAAGUCAGGUCACGAGUUCACAACUGACGCUCAUGCACGAAAGCGUGGGGAUCAAACAGGAUUAGAUACCCUGGUAGUCCACGCUGUAAACGAUGAUCACUCGUUGUUGGGCAGUAAUGUUCAGCGGCCAAGUAAAAGCGAUAAGUGAUCCACCUGGGGAGUACGAUCGCAAGGUUGAA
rnacentral:rRNA from 1 species